rnacentral:tRNA from 1 species
GCAUGGUAGCUCAGUGGUAGAAUCCUCGCCUUCCAUGUGGGAGACCUGAGUUAGAUUCCCAGCCAGUGCA